GGACUUACGGCACUCUCAGCUUGUCUCUUGUAGCUCUUCACUUUGGUCUGAAGCUUAUCGAUCAGCUCCUGCAUCCUGAGCAGCGUCUUUCUGUCCUCCUCCGACUGACCAGCACAGGACACAGAGCCAUCUGCUCCGUCUCGUCCAGUUUGACCUGCAGCUCUGACACAGGAACACUCAGAGGGUCAACACGAGGACCUGCUGCAGCAUCCGCCAACGGAAAAUAAAAAUCGUCGUGGUACCUUUCACUGUGGACUCCAUGUUCCUCUUCAUCCUCUCCAUCAUGCUGCUGCUGUCCUGCUCCUUCUUCAGCUCCUCUGCGAUGAGAGCCGCCUGAUCCAACAGAGUCACGUCAGAGGUCAGAGGUCGAGACUAACAUCAGUGAUGGCCUUCUUGGCUUUGUCGUCAGCAUUGCGGCUCUCCUGCAAGGCCUCGUCCACCUCUCCGGUCAGCACGGACAGAUCCGACUCCAGCUUCCUCUUCUGGCUAAACAGCGCGGAGUUCUGCGGCACAAGGAGAAGCAGGUAACCAUGACAACAGUGUGUCGGUCACCUGUGUGUUGAGAUACUCGACUCUCUCCGCCACCUCCACCAGCUCGUGUUCGGCCAUCCUGCGGGCGCGGUCGCUCUGCUCCAGGACCGCUCGGAGCUCCUCCUCCUCGGCGGUCAUCAGCGAACAGCGUCGGUCCAGCAGAGCGAUCUGUUCUCUCAGCUGAUUGGACAGCUGGACUUUAUCUUCCAGGUCCACCUGCUGCUCUUUGACCUGAAUCACAGCGCGGUGGGAUCGGGCGGUGGUCAGGUGGGAUGAGGUGGAGCUGGGGACCAGGUGUAGGUCAGGUAGGGCCCGAUCCGGGAGGGUUCUACCUGAGUCUGCAGGUGUCUGAUGACUCUUUGGCUCUCCGCCGCCUGUCUGUUGGCGUGACUCAGCUGGAUCUCCAUCUCGUUCAGGUCUGCUUCCAUCUUCUUCCUCAGGCGAACGGCCUCGCUGCGACUUCGGACCUCCGCCUCCAAGCUGGUCUGCAUGGUCUCAAGGGAGCGCUGGUGGCUCCGCCUGGUGGACGGUUGUCGAUCUCUUCGUCCUUCUCUGCGAUCUUGCGCUCGAUGUCACUCCUGAUCUGCUGCAGCUCCAUCUGGAACCUCAGGGUCUUACUCUCCUCGUGCUCCAGGGAGCCCUGCAUGGCGGACAGUCGCAGCUUCUUCACCCUCUCCAGCUCGUGGAUCGUCUUCCCCCCGUGGCCGAUCUGAUCGGUUAGGUCCAGGAUCUCCUCUGGAGGGUCGGUCAAAACCAAACACAGUGCCUCAGUGAGAGGUCUCACUCAGCUCAUCUCACCUCUGAUCACUGAAACUCUGGAAGAAUCUGAUUCCUGCAGUGGUAUCAAAGUCAAAUUUGUUUAAAAAAUACUGUAUUUCUAAGUGUGGGGUAGGUUUCCUUUGGAGGGCACCAAUGAGUUUUAAGAGAGAUCCAGCAGCAAGAGAAAUCUAGGGAUUAGGGUGACAGCUUUUCCAAACGUGUUGGGCACAGAGCUGAAGCAGAAAAUGAACUGAUAACGACAAUUUGAUGAGGAUGAGUUGAUGAAGGUGAGCUGGUAAAGAGGAGACGGUAGUACCCUGCAGGUUCUUGUUCUCUCGUCGGACCGUCUCCAGGUGGUCCAGAGAUUCCUCGUAGCUGUUCUUCAGCUUGAACAGUUCAGUGCUCAGACUGCGCGAUUCUCUCUGCGACGACUCCAGCUCCGACUGGCUCUCCUCACACUUCAGCUUCCAGCUGCUCAGCAGCUGAAAUGUCCACAUAGAGACAUACAUUUCCAGUUCCUCGACCUUUAUAACAGCCAGAUCAGCAUCACAGCUGCUGCAUCUGGCCCACCUGCUCCAUGCUGCGUUGCUUUUUGUCGAGAGCCAGGGCGGAGGCAUUGGAGCGUUCCAGCUCCACCACCAGGUCCUCCAUCUCCGUCUGCAGCCGCACUUUGGUCUUCUCCAGGGAGGAGCACUUAGCGUGAGACGCUUCCACCGCUUCUUCCACCUUCUGAAGCUUCACCACCAGCUUCUUCCUGCAGGGGGCACCACCAAAAUUAAGACUGUGACGUCUCAGCACCACCGAUCAGAGUGAGUCCUGGCGCACACACAAAACACACAGAAAGGCUCACUUUGCGUCCUCCAGCUCCUCGAUCCUCAGCACGGCGUCCGUCUCGUAUUUCGCCCUCCAUUGCACCACCUGGCUGGUGCUGUUGGACAGCGCCCUCUGCAGCUCCGCUUUGGCCUCCUGCUCUUCCUCUAGCUGCUCUCUGAGGAGGCUGCAGUCAUGGCGAGAGGCCUGGACAGCAUGUGCCAGCGCCACACGGGCCUGAAACGCAACAAGACAACAUGCUCUGUCUGCUUUUUUCGCAAAUGACAUUGUCCUCCUGGCAUCACGAGGCUGGGAUUCUGAUCAUCCCCUUUCUAAUUUGAGGACAGAGUGGAAAUGAAAAGGAUGGCAUGCCCUCUUCAGGUAGUGGGGGAGAACCUUCCCCAAGUGGGAGAACUAUCUUGAAGAAUAUCUUGGGGCUUCAUUCAGGAGUGAUGGGAGGAGGGAUCACUAAAUCCGAUCAUGCAUGAUAGUCCAAUGAAAUGAGGUUUGGGAUUGGCUUUGGGUUCUUCCAGAUGGAUGGAUGGAUGGAUGGAUGAAAUUAGAGGAAUGACAAUAGGAGGGACCUUGCUCUCUUCCUCCAGCUGCCUCUUCAGGCCCUCCACACUCUGACACACUCCCAGCUUUGACCGCUGCAGCUGACUGAUGGUGGACUCACGCUCCUCAAGACGACGACUGUACUCAGCUGAAAGCAGGAGAGACAGAGAAUUUGAGUGUGUAUUUGUGUGCGUGUGUGUGUGUGUGUGUGUGUGUGCGUGUGCGUGUGCGUGUGCGUGUGCGUGUGCGUGUGUGUGUGUGUGUGUGUGUGUGUGUGUUACCAGACUCUGUGACCGCUCGUGCUUUCUGUGUGUUGACUUCAGUCAGCUGUCUUUGCAGUUCUUCAGCUCUGUUCCUGGUUUCAUUCAGUUGGUCCUCAAAAGUCCUGCACAUCUUCUCCGCAGCCCCCUACACACACACAAAAGCAUAUAAAGAAUAUUUACAUCAAGCAAGCAAACAACAACAAAAACAAAACAUGAAUGUAUCAUGUGUGUUUUUGUACCUUGGC